UACGGAGGGGGCAAGCGUUGUUCGGAAUUACUGGGCGUAAAGGGCUCGUAGGUGGCCAACUAAGUCAGACGUGAAAUCCCUCGGCUUAACCGGGGAACUGCGUCUGAUACUGGAUGGCUUGAGUUUGGGAGAGGGACGCGGAAUUCCAGGUGUAGCGGUGAAAUGCGUAGAUAUCUGGAGGAACACCGGUGGCGAAGGCGGCAUUCUGGACCGACAUUGACGCUGAGGAGCGAAAGCCAGGGGAGCAAACGGG
rnacentral:rRNA from 1 species